AUUCUGUCUUAAUUCAAGGCACCUUGAUCAACUACGAAAUCCUCUCAGGAUGAGGCCCUUUGAUUGCCCUUCAACUGGGUUGACUCCUGCGAUUACCCCUAAUGUGAAUAACUCGAGCGUAUAAUUUCUGGUAGUGGGACCUGCAUUCACGCUCGUCCCC
rnacentral:snRNA from 1 species